GGUUGGGACAAUCAAGGGGGUCGCCACUGGGCAAGCCACCUGAAGGCAGCUGCUGGCUCUCAAGAUGGUUGAGGGCGUGAGGUGAGGAGGACGCUGGAAGGAGAGUGGCGGGGGGCCUCACUCUCCCGCCCCAAUGCUGAGGGCUGUCCCGGCAGCACAGCGUGCGCACCGCGCAGUGUAGUGGAUGGGCAGGCACACAGACCGCCCUCGAGCCGGUCACUCUAACCUCUGCUCCCCGGUUUCCCCCUCUGUGGAAAGGCCAUCUCAGAACCUGGAUUUGAGUGUUGUUGUGAAGAUUAGAUGAGAGAAUGCAUGUGAUGCUUUCAGCCCGCCCCCUGGCUCAGAGCAAACUCUCAGAUGGAGAAAAUGCUAAGACCUUCCAUGAAGACAACAAGACACAAUGUCCUAAUGAGGGCUUCCAGUCUGUAUGGUGACACAAGUAACUACAACACAAAAGAAAAUGCACAGUGCCUACAGAGAUGGAGACAUGUUUUGGACUGGCCUCAGAGGUGGCCAUUGGCGGAAUCACAUCUGAAGGCUGAGACCCCUGUCUUGAGGGAGGAGGUCCUCUCUGCCUCGAUGCAAUCACGGAAGAGCUGCUUCCACAUGGGCAGCAAUCAGCCAGGCUCGCAAGGGAACCGGCUCCCUGCCUGCACACAUGUCCUCUCUCGGGAAAGAAAGAACCAAAGAUGCCCAUUUCAGAGACGGUGCUAGGGGGACACGAGAGAAGAACACCGCUUCUGAAUAAAGGAAGCCUGCUCGGAAGGCGAAACA
rnacentral:lncRNA from 1 species